GACGAACGCUGGCGGCGUGGAUUAGGCAUGCAAGUCGAACGGUAUCAUCCUUUCGGGGGUGAGAGAGUGGCGAACUGGUGAGUAACACGUAGGUUAUCUACCCUCAAGACGGGGACAACCCAGGGAAACUUGGGCUAAUACCGGAUGUGAGCAACUUUUAGUUGUUUGAAAGGCGGCGUAAGCUGUCGCUUGGGGAUGAGCCUGCGUCCUAUUAGUUAGUUGGUGAGGUAACGGCUCACCUAGGCAAUGAUAGGUAGGCGGCCUUAACGGGUGGUCGCCCACACUGGGAUUGAGAUACGGCCCAGACUCCUACGGGAGGCAGCAGUCGAGAAUAGUCUACAAUGGUCGGAAGACUGAUAGUGCGACGCCGCGUGAACGAUGAAUCCCUUCGGGGUGUAAAGUUCUUUUAUAUGUGAGCAGUGCUUCUUAUAUUAACAGUAUGGGAGAGAGAUAUUAGCAUAUGAAUAAGCAACGGCUAAACUCCGUGCCAGCAGCCGCGGUAAAAAUA
rnacentral:rRNA from 1 species